rnacentral:rRNA from 1 species
AGGGAAUCUUCCACAAUGGACGAAAGUCUGAUGGAGCAACGCCGCGUGAGUGAUGAAGGGUUUCGGCUCGUAAAACUCUGUUGUUGGAGAAGAACAGGUGAUAGAGUAACUGUUAUCAUCUUGACGGUAUCCAACCAGAAAGCCACGGCUAACUACGUGCCAGCAGCCGCGGUAAUACGUAGGUGGCAAGCGUUGUCCGGAUUUAUUGGGCGUAAAGCGAGCGCAGGCGGUUUUUUAGGUCUGAUGUGAAAGCCUUCGGCUUAACCGGAGAAGGGCAUCGGAAACCGGGAGACUUGAGUGCAGAAGAGGACAGUGGAACUCCAUGUGUAGCGGUGAAAUGCGUAGAUAUAUGGAAGAACACCAGUGGCGAAGGCGGCUGUCUGGUCUGUAACUGACGCUGAGGCUCGAAAGCAUGGGUAGCGAACAGGAUUAGAUACCCUGGUAGUCCAUGCCGUAAAACGAUGAGUGCUAAGUGUUGGAGGGUUUCCGCCCUUCAGUGCUGCAGCUAACGCAUUAAGCACUCCGCCUGGGGGAGUACGACCGCAAGGUUGAAAC